ACGGCUCAGUAACACUUAGUCAACCUGCCCUCGGGUCGAGAAUAAUCUCGGGAAACUGAGGCUAAUGAGCGAUAGGUCAAGAUUCCUGGAAUGGGUUUUGGUCUAAACGGCGUGACAGCAUCUUGUCGUGUCCGCCCGAGGAUGGGACUGCGGCCGAUCAGGCUGUUGGUGGGGUAAAGGCCCACCAAACCAGUAACCGGUACGGGCUUUGAGAGAAGGAGCCCGGAGAUGGACACUGAGACAAGGGUCCAGGUCCUACGGGGCGCAGCAGGCGCGAAACCUUCGCAAUGCGCGCAAGCGCGACGAGGUUAUUCCGAGUGAUUUCCGCUGAGGAAAUCUUUUCUUAGAUCUAAAAAGUCUGGGGAAUAAGGGGAGGGCAAGUCUGGUGUCAGCCGCCGCGGUAAUACCAGCUCCUCGAGUGGUCAGGGCGUUUAUUGGGCCUAAAGCAUCCGUAGCCUGCUCGGUAGGUCUCCUGUUAAAUCCAACGGCUCAACCGUUGGCCUGCAGGAGAUACCGCUGGGCUAGGAGGCGGGAGAGGCGGACGGUACUCCGAGGGUAGGGGUAAAAUCCUUUGAUCCCCGGAAGA
rnacentral:rRNA from 1 species